ensembl:lncRNA
CUUUUGGAAAGUGUGCAGUACUUGCAGAAAUUAUUGGCAGCUAGGUUUCCUUCCGUGAGGACCAACGAAGCACACAAGAUUCUUUCACAAGAAAAAAAUCCUGACUGAUACAUAAAGUCAACUAAAGGUCUAAAGACUUAAGAACUGAGUUUAAUCUCUGACGGGGACCAGAUGACAUUGCAGAAGAAAGAGAGAGAGAGAAAUUAUUUUUCUGUGUAAUUUGAUGCACAAAGCACCUUGAGAUGGAAGCCAUUAGAUUCAAAUUUAUCAUUUCAAGCUGGGACGAGAGCUGGUGACCUAGGAUUGAUUCCAUGAAGUUGAAGCUGGUACAGUUGAUGCUGAAACAAAUUUGUGUACUCAUGGAUGCUGAGAAGUAAAAAUAAAGAAAAUGACCUCAGACAAGCUGUGUGGAAGAUACUGGCAUGCUUAAGAGGCUCAAGCUGAACUCAUACAUCCUGAUGAAGACUUACAAUUUAUCAUCAAAAGGCGCCUUUAGAUUUCUACUGCAAUGGAGUGUCUGAUAAACACCUUCCAUUUCUACAGGGAAAGAAGCAGAGCUAUUCUCUGAAAUGAAUAACUCUGCAUUCAAAGGAGGCUUUCCAGAGAAGCUGGGCACUAAAACAGAUUAAGAUGAACUGAAGACACAGAAAACCAUUAUGUUCACAGAAUAAACAGUUUUAGUCAUUUAAUGUUAUAAUAAAUGUAUUUGGCUGUGACAUGCUGCUUUCACCACAAAAAGGUCUCCUGUUAAAUAUGCACAUGUCUCUACAUUGGGCCAGUGAUAGGAGCUGGACAGCCAGGGGUGACAGUCCUACUGUGGAUCUUGAAUUUGCUUUUCUGAGGAACAGGCGAUUACUGUAAACAUUCCUCUUUUCAAAAUGGAGAGGAAGUGAAUUUAGCAUUGCUGACAAGUGUCAGAUUUACUGCUUUAAAGAUCAAAGCAAUUAAUUUAUUCAGAGGAUCAGGGAAAGAGCAAGAGAAACAGACAUGGCCCCACCGGCUGCCCUGCCUUUGAUGACCAGAGCUCUAGGUAACAAAGGUUUGUCAGCUUUUUACCAUACUCAAUCCUAGGAGAUCUGAGUUAAGACUAAAACUUCAGGGCCCUUGCUGGCCUAUUGGAAAAUAAGGAGGAUGCGUAUCCAGCAGCAGGGAUAUGAUAAAGAAUCAAUUGCCAUCCAAGUGUUCACUUGCUCUUUUAAAUAUGAAGCAUUCUAAGUACAAUGUAUAGGAAGACAGGACCAACAACAAAAUGCUUUUUUGAUAAACUGCUGACAAUGUGGAUUUGGGUGGUGUUUUAUUUACUUCAGAGACUGGCUUUGCAGAUAAUAAGAUGUUUGUUGCAUGUAUGUGUGAUGUGUUAGACAUUUCUCUUCAGAAGCCCAGGAAAAUAAGACAAUGCAAAGUAAAAGAGUGGUAAAAUACUGGUAACACUCCCUCACCUAAUGAAGGAAGCUUAACAAGCCAACACAAGACAGGAGAAGUCACUCAGAAAUCAUCACUCUCUAUUGUUCUUGGAUGACACAGAUAAAGAUUCACUGACGGUCUAAAAAUAUUCUCCAUACUAGGUACCUGGAAAUUUUUCCUCUUGACUCAGUUUUUCUUUCCAAAUGAAAAUUUGGUCAUGAUUACUAUUAUGAACCCUUCUUGCUAAGGGAAUUUUGUUAAUGAGUACUGACUUCAUUCUACAUGGUUCAGAUUCUCUUACUUGCAAAAUAAUAACAAUGUUUUAAGUCUCUUGUCUGAAACAAAUUAAUUUGAUCCCAUAUCCUAAUAGUGUCAAUGAGCAAACCCAUGUGUUCCUACAGUUUUUGGGUCUGAUAAGUCAAAAUAAAUAAAAUCAAACAAGAAAAAGCCUUUAAAGAUAAAUAUAUAGUUAAUUCCUUCUUUCCCAAAUAAGUGGAAUGGAUGGCAACUGGGAAUGAUAAGAUAUUACCAGAAUAAAUGUUUGAUACUUGAAGCUGAAAUUAUAAAUGGACUACAUCAUUCACAAUUUGGGUAAGGAAAUAUAACACAUGUGCAGGAGUAAAAUAGAAUUUUAUAGUAUAGACUUACUGAUGGAAAAAUGAUUACAUUCUCAAGUGUGAGACUCUACAGUUACAACAAUGGGUAACUUGACUGCUAAGUGCUAUGUGGUUCUGGACAGAAAGUUUUCUGGGAGGAGAGAAAUUGGUAAGAUUGUAGGAAGAGAUGUAAACCUCUGUCGAUAUUCAAGUCCAUUCGCCCAGCCCGCUCUGAUCACUCGCCUACAUCCCAC